rnacentral:rRNA from 1 species
UAGGGAAUCUUCGGCAAUGGACGGAAGUCUGACCGAGCAACGCCGCGUGAGUGAAGAAGGUUUUCGGAUCGUAAAGCUCUGUUGUUAGAGAAGAACGUUGGUAGGAGAGGAAAAUCUACCAAGUGACGGUAACUAACCAGAAAGGGACGGCUAACUACGUGCCAGCAGCCGCGGUAAUACGUAGGUCCCGAGCGUUGUCCGGAUUUAUUGGGCGUAAAGCGAGCGCAGGCGGUUCUUUAAGUCUGAAGUUAAACGCAGUGGCUUAACCAUUGUACGCUUUGGAAACUGGAGGACUUGAGUGCAGAAGGGGAGAGUAGAAUUCCAUGUGUAGCGGUGAGAUGCGUAGAUAUAUGGAGGAACACCGGUGGCGAAAGCGGCUCUCUGGUCUGUAACUGACGCUGAGGCUCGAAAGCGUGGGGAGCAAACAGG